rnacentral:sRNA from 1 species
UCUUUUUCUUUAUUUUAUUUUGU